UCAGAUAUGAUGUAGCGGGAACACAGCCUCUGUUCUUCGAUAAACGAUGUUUGGAGGUAAUCCAGGGUUCGAAUCUCUGUGUCUGAA